GGUGAAGAACGUAGCGAAAUGCGAUACGUAGUGUGAAUUGCAGAAUUCAGUGAAUCAUCGAAUCUUUGAACGCACAUUGCACCUCUCGGUAUUCCGGGAGGUAUGCCUGUUCGAGCGUCAUUUGUACCCUCAAGCUCUGCUUGGUGUUGGGUGUUUGUUCCGCCUCUGUGUGUGAACUCGCCUCAAAACAAUUGGCAGCCGGCGUACUUGUUUCGGAGCGCAGCACAUUUUGCGAUCCAGAUCAACGUACAGCGGCAUCCAAGAAGCCUUAUUUAACGCUCUUGACCUCGGAUCAGGUAGGGAUACCCGCUGAACUUAAGCAUAUCAAUAAGCGGAGGA
rnacentral:misc_RNA from 1 species